AGCAGGUCUUGUUUUCUCCUUUAUUGUGUCAUAAGAGAAUGGCUACGUAGUUCCUUAGAUACUAGCAGUAAGUUGAAGCAUCUGUGAGUCAGUCCUUGGCUAAACGACGAAGGAAUUGAUUGUGACUGUGGAAGCUGUGGGAGCUUUGGAUCUGUUGACUAUUACCAAAAAAAUCAAUUAUAUGUUUUUCAAUGAGGAAGAAGCAAGAGUAAUUUCAUUGAUUUGUCAUGUUAAAAAUGAAAAUGCUACCAGAUACAGAAGUGAUGAAGAUUAUGAUAUUGGAAAUAGAGAUGAAAAAACAAUCUGA
rnacentral:lncRNA from 1 species